rnacentral:rRNA from 1 species
CACGUAGGGCGCAAGCGUUGUCCGGAAUUAUUGGGCGUAAAGAGCUCGUAGGCGGUCUGUUGCGUCCGCUGUGAAAACUCGGGGCUUAACCCCGAGCCUGCAGUGGAUACGGGCAGACUAGAGGUAGGUAGGGGAGAAUGGAAUUCCCGGUGUAGCGGUGAAAUGCGUAGAGAUCGUAAGGAAGACCAGUGGCGAAGGCGGGUCUCUGGACAGUUCCUGACACUGAGGCACGAAGGCCAGGGGAGCAAACGGG